rnacentral:lncRNA from 1 species
AUGAAGAAAGGAGAUGAAGUUUGCACUCUUUGUUUUGACGAAAUGUCUCUGAAACACCACCUACAGUGCAAUCCAAAGUUGGAUUUGAUAGAAGGGUACGAAGAUCAUGGCGAUGAAGUACGGAGCAGCAAAGUUGCUUCUUAUGCCUGCGUGUUUAUGGUUUGCGGAUUGAGAAAGUUUUGGAAGCAGCCUGUACGCAAGUUGCGCAGCAUAGGUUUGAAACCGAUGACAACAAUCUGUGACAUGGGGAGCACCAACGUCAAGGCUCUGAAGGAACUGCGGGAUAAGCCGUAUGAUUGCUUCUUCAAAGUGGAUGAUGAAGAAGUUGUCAUAAUCUACGACCCGCCGCACCUUCUCAAAUGCAUAAGGAACAUGCUCAUGGAACAUGAUGUCACCUGUGUUAUUGAUGCCGAAUUGAAUGGAAAAAAAGGAGUCACUGGAACUGGUAAAUGGUCCAUUAUCGAGAAGCUCUAUGAGCUGGAGCAGCCAAAGUUCUUAUGUCGAAGAGCCCGAAAAUUAAAGUCAGCGCAUGUGUAUCCAAAGUAUGGGCAGCUGAUGAAAGUGAAUCUAGCGGCCCAAGUAAUGAGCCACUCCAUAGCUGUUGCCAUCCUUGCAUACGCAGCCAGAAAUGAGAUCAGCGAUGGUGUAGCUACAGCAUCAUUCUUAUUGGAAAUGGACAAUCUGCUGGACUCCGUUAAUGGGUACAAGCCUACCUUGCAAGACGGGAAGCGCCUGAAAACGCAGAUAAACAAGAAUAGUCCGCACUUAAAAUUCUGAGUGGAGGCAAAAAGAAGAAUUCGUAAGUGGAAAUUUGGGGGCUCUGAUCCACCCUCAAAAAGUGGAUGGAUCCGGUCUCUGACUGCAAUUGAGUAUUUGUGGAAGAAACUAGUUGAAAUGGGAUUUGAUCAUCUGUCACCAAGGCGCCUAAACCAAGAUUGUCUUGAAAAUCUUUUUGGUAUUAUUAGAUCUUUGUGCGGUGGUAACACCAGGCCCAACACCCCCAAUUUAUAGGUGCCUUAAAAACAGCAGUCAUUAAUAAUGUUGCGGCUCUGGAUGCCAAAAACAUGAACUGCAAGUCGGAUGAUGCCCCCUAUUUAAGUAAUUUAAGAAACUUGCUUGAAAAGUGCAGUCUUUCCUCCACAUCUGAAGAGGGUGAAACUGACAAUAGUGAGGUUGAAAGCGAGGACAGUAGAGAAACGGAUCCAGAAUUGAGUAAGGCCGCAGCCGAAGAAGGAAUUGAGGAAGAAUUUAAUGUUUUGUGUAAGAAAGUGAAAGAGGAUUUUAGGAAGAAUAGUAAGGAAAUGGAGAAAAGUAUGAGGAAGAGAGAGUCUGGCAUCCUAUCCAUUGCUUAUGUUGCUGGUUUCAUCGCCGGUAGAAUACUCAAAAAAUCAAACUGUGACCAAUGUCGAGGUCUCAUGACUUCGAAAAACUCUGAAUUUUUCAACGAAUUUAUAGAUUUUAAGGAAUAUGAUGACAAGCAACGCCUCAAUCGCCCAUCCCUUGAUAUGGCUGUCACGAUAGGGAAUUGUGCAACCCUCAUUGACAAAAUUCUUGACACCAAUGCCCAUCAGUCAAAGAAGGCAGGCAUUAGCAGUGUUCUGCAAACUGAAAUAAAUUUUACUUGGCUGAAUGAAUGUCCGAAUCAUUUUGUGGAAAAUGUGAAUAGUAUCAAGAACUCCACCAUUUCGAUAUGGUUGAAUUGGUGGAUAAAUCGGAAAAAUAGGUCUUUCAGUGAUGACAAACGUAAAGUAAAAGAGAAGAUGGAUAAAAUUACCCAUAAAUAGUCAAGUCUGCCUAGUGCCAGUUUGCUGGUGUCGUUGCUAGAUGCUUCAUGUGUGUAAAAGUAUAAAAAAUUGUAAAAUUUGUAAACUGUUAACAAUUGUAAAACUGAAAACAAUUUGUAAUGAAAGUAAUUUGUAACAAUAAGCUGUCAAUACUAUGUUCAGCUCUUAUGUAUUUCUUUCUUUUGCAAAAUAUCUUUUUAUACAGGGUGGCCCAGACCUACCGUACCAGGCCUUUUUUUCGGUUAAUUUGGGUCAUUUGAA